rnacentral:rRNA from 1 species
AUGAUAAUGGACACAGGAAGUAGGAACAAGGAAGAAGGGCAUGAGGGGAAGGAGACCCAAGAGCCUACCAAUAGUGAAGGAAAAGGACAGACAGUAAAAGCGACUGAUUUGGGAAGGCAGGGAGAACAGGAAAAAGCAACUACUUACAUGCUAAGUAGAAGUCAGAAGCCUUUGUGUGAGGCUAGUAAAGGGGAUUCAAUUUUAAUGUAUGUGGGAACAGAACCUCCUAACCUCCAGGCUAGUAAAGGUAAGAGAAACACGUUCAAAAGGAUGGCGCGCCCCAAUACCAGCGAACCUCAGCCCUCACUCAGCCAGAAUAAAAAAAAGAAGAGGUGCAGAUCUGAUGGAGAUCGAUGA